rnacentral:rRNA from 1 species
AUUGAACGCUGGCGGCAGGCUUAACACAUGCAAGUCGAGCGGGGGAAGGUGCUUCGGUACUGACCUUAGCGGCGGACGGGUGAGUAAUGCUUAUGAAUCUGCCUAUUAGUGGGGGACAACAUCUCGAAAGGGAUGCUACUCCCGCAUACGUCCUAUGGGAGAAAGGAGGGGAUCACUUGUGACCUUGCGCUAAUAGAUGAGCCUAAGUCGGAUUAGCUAGUUGGUGGGGUAAAGGCCUACCAAGGCGACGAUCUGUAGCGGGUCUGAGAGGAUGAUCCGCCACACUGGGACUGAGACACGGCCCAGAAUCCUACGGGAGGCAGCAGUGGGGAAUAUUGGACAAUGGGGGGAACCCUGAUCCAGCCAUGCCGCGUGUGUGAAGAAGGCCUUAUGGUUGUAAAGCACUUUAAGCGAGGAGGAGGCUCUUUUGGUUAAUACCCAAGAUGAGUGGACGUUACUCGCAGAAUAAGCACCGGCUAACUCUGUGCCAGCCGCCGCGGUAA